UACGAAGGGGGCUAGCGUUGCUCGGAAUCACUGGGCGUAAAGCGCACGUAGGCGGGUCCUUAAGUCAGGGCUGAAAUCCCGGAGCUCAACUCCGGAACUGCCUUUGAUACUGGGGAUCUUGAGUCCGGAAGAGGUGAGUGGAACUCCGAGUGUAGAGGUGAAAUUCGUAGAUAUUCGGAAGAACACCAGUGGCGAAGGCGGCUCACUGGUCCGGUACUGACGCUGAGGUGCGAAAGCGUGGGGAGCAAACAGG
rnacentral:rRNA from 1 species